rnacentral:rRNA from 1 species
CUACGGGUCGCUCCAGUGGGGAAUAUUGCACAAUGGGCGCAAGCCUGAUGCAGCAACGCCGCGUGAGGGACGAAGGCCUUCGGGUUGUAAACCUCUUUUAGCAGGGAAGAAGCGAAAGUGACGGUACCUGCAGAAAAAGCACCGGUUAACUACGUGCCAGCAGCCGCGGUAAUACGUAGGGUGCAAGCGUUGUCCGGAAUUAUUGGGCGUAAAGAGCUCGUAGGCGGUUUGUCACGUCUGCUGUGAAAUUUCGAGGCUCAACCUCGAACUUGCCGUGGGUACGGGCAGGCUAGAGUGCGGUAGGGGAGAUUGGAAUGCCUGGUGUAGCGGUGGAAUGCACAGAUAUCAGGAGGAACACCAAUGGCGAAGGCACAUCUCUGGGCCGUAACUGACGCUGAGGAGCGAAAGCGUGGGGAGCAAACAGGAUUAGAUACCCGUGUAGUC